rnacentral:rRNA from 1 species
AUUGAACGCUGGCGGCAUGCCUAACACAUGCAAGUCGAACGGCAGCACAGAUAUAGUUUACUAUAUUGGGUGGCGAGUGGCGGACGGGUGAGUAACGCGUGGGUAUAUGACCUAAUGACGGGGACAACUUGCGGAAACGCGAGCUAAUACCGGAUAAGCUCUGAGGAGGAAAGCUGGGGAUCUGGCGACAGACCUGGCGCUUUAGGAGUAACCUGCGUCCAAUUAGCUAGUUGGUAGGGUAAAGGCCUACCAAGGCGACGAUUGGUAGCUGGUCUGAGAGGACGGACAGCCACACUGGGACUGAGACACGGUCCAGACUCCUACGGGAGGCAGCAGUGGGGAAUUUUGGACAAUGGGCGCAAGCCUGAUCCAGCCAUGCCGCGUGAGUGAAGAAGGCCU